GUGGGGAAUCUUCCGCAAUGGGCGAAAGCCUGACGGAGCAACGCCGCGUGAGUGAUGACGGCCUUCGGGUUGUAAAGCUCUGUUAUAUGGGACGAACGGGCAUGGGGCGAAUACCCUCAUGCAGUGACGGUACCGUAAGAGAAAGCCACGGCUAACUACGUGCCAGCAGCCGCGGUAAUACGUAGGUGGCAAGAGUUGUCCGGAAUUAUUGGGCGUAAAGGGCGUGUAGGCGGCCAGACAAGUCUGUCUUAAAAGUGCGGGGCUCAACCCCGUGAUGGGAUGGAAACUGUCGGGCUAGAGUGACGGAGAGGAAAGCGGAAUUCCUAGUGUAGCGGUGAAAUGCGUAGAUAUUAGGAGGAACACCAGUGGCGAAAGCGGCUUUCUGGACGACAACUGACGCUGAGGCGCGAAAGCCAGGGGAGCAAACGGGAUUAGAUACCCUGGUAGUCC
rnacentral:rRNA from 1 species